UUGACGGGGAGCACCACAACGGGUGGAGCUUGCGGUUUAAUUGGAUUCAACGCCGGAAAUCUUACCGGGACCGACAGCAAUAUGAAGGCCAGGCUGAAGACUUUGCCGGAUUAGCUGAGAGGUGGUGCAUGGCCGUCGUCAGUUCGUACUGUGAAGCAUCCUGUUAAGUCAGGCAACGAGCGAGACCCACGCCCACAGUUGCCAGCGUACUCUCUGGAGUGACGGGUACACUGUGGGGACCGCCGCUGCUAAAGCGGAGGAAGGAAUGGGCAACGGUAGGUCAGUAUGCCCCGAAUAUCCCGGGCUACACGCGAGCUACAAUGGUUGGUACAAUGGGUAUCUACCCCGAAAGGGGACGGGAAUCUCCUAAAACCAAUCUUAGUUCGGAUUGAGGGCUGCAACUCGUCCUCAUGAAGCUGGAAUCCGUAGUAAUCGCGUUUCAACAGAACGCGGUGAAUACGUCCCUGCUCCUU
rnacentral:rRNA from 1 species